rnacentral:rRNA from 1 species
AUGGCAAGUCGAGCGAACUGAUUAGAAGCUUGCUUCUAUGACGUUAGCGGCGGACGGGUGAGUAACACGUGGGCAACCUGCCUGUAAGACUGGGAUAACUUCGGGAAACCGAAGCUAAUACCGGAUAGGAUCUUCUCCUUCAUGGGAGAUGAUUGAAAGAUGGUUUCGGCUAUCACUUACAGAUGGGCCCGCGGUGCAUUAGCUAGUUGGUGAGGUAACGGCUCACCAAGGCAACGAUGCAUAGCCGACCUGAGAGGGUGAUCGGCCACACUGGGACUGAGACACGGCCCAGACUCCUACGGGAGGCAGCAGUAGGGAAUCUUCCGCAAUGGACGAAAGUCUGACGGAGCAACGCCGCGUGAGUGAUGAAGGCUUUGGGGUCGUAAAACUGUGUUGUUAGGGAAGAACAAGUACGAGAGUAACUGCUCGUACCUUGACGGUACCUAACCAGAAAGCCACGGCUAACUACGUGCCAGCAGCCGCGGUAAUACGUAGGUGGCAAGCGUUAUCCGGAAUUAUUGGGCGUAAAGCGCGCGCAGGCGGUUUCUUAAGUCUGAUGUGAAAGCCCACGGCUCAACCGUGGAGGGUCAUUGGAAACUGGGGAACUUGANUGCAGAAGAGAAAAUCGGAUUCCCGUGUAGCGGUGAAAUGCGUCCAGAUC